GCGCUAGUAGUUCAGUGGUAGAACGCUGUCCUGAUAAGACAGAGGUCGUAGGUCCGAUUCCUACCUAGCGCA
rnacentral:tRNA from 1 species